CAUGUCUAAGUAUAAGCAAUUUAUACAGUGAAACUGCGAAUGGCUCAUUAAAUCAGUUAUCGUUUAUUUGAUAGUACCUUACUACUUGGAUAACCGUGGUAAUUCUAGAGCUAAUACAUGCUUAAAAUCCCGACUGUUUGGAAGGGAUGUAUUUAUUAGAUAAAAAAUCAAUGUCUUCGGACUCUUUGAUGAUUCAUAAUAACUUUUCGAAUCGCAUGGCCUUGUGCUGGCGAUGGUUCAUUCAAAUUUCUGCCCUAUCAACUUUCGAUGGUAGGAUAGUGGCCUACCAUGGUUUCAACGGGUAACGGGGAAUAAGGGUUCGAUUCCGGAGAGGGAGCCUGAGAAACGGCUACCACAUCCAAGGAAGGCAGCAGGCGCGCAAAUUACCCAAUCCCGACACGGGGAGGUAGUGACAAUAAAUAACGAUACAGGGCCCUUUCGGGUCUUGUAAUUGGAAUGAGUACAAUGUAAAUACCUUAACGAGGAACAAUUGGAGGGCAAGUCUGGUGCCAGCAGCCGCGGUAAUUCCAGCUCCAAAAGCGUAUAUUAAAGUUGUUGCAGUUAAAAAGCUCGUAGUUGAACCUUGGGCUUGGUUGGCCGGUCCAUCUUUCUGAUGCGUACUGGACCCAACCGAGCCUUUCCUUCUGGCUAGCCUUUUGGCGAACCAGGACUUUUACUUUGAAAAAAUUAGAGUGUUCAAAGCAGGCCUUUGCUCGAAUAUAUUAGCAUGGAAUAA
rnacentral:rRNA from 1 species